GACGAACGCUGGCGGCGUGCUUAACACAUGCAAGUCGAACGGAAAGGCCCUGCUUUUGUGGGGUGCUCGAGUGGCGAACUGGUGAGUAACACGUGAGUAACCUGCCCUUGACUUUGGGAUAACUUCAUGAAACUGGGGCUAAUACCGGAUAGGAGCUCCUGCUGCAUGGUGGGGGUUGGAAAGUUUCGGCGGUUGGGGAUGGACUCGCGGCCUAUCAGCUUGUUGGUGGGGUAGUGGCUUACCAAGGCUUUGACGGGUAGCCGGCCUGCGAGGGUGACCGGCCACAUUGGGACUGAGAUACGGCCCAGACUCCUACGGGAGGGAGCGGUGGAGAAUAGUGCACAAUGGGCGGAAGCCUGAUGCAGCAAAGCCGCGUGGGGGAUGACGGCCUUCGGGUUGUAAUCCGCUUUCGCCUGUGACGAAGCGUGAGUGACGGUAAUGGGUAAAGAAGCACCGGCUAACUACGUG
rnacentral:rRNA from 1 species